GCCGCGGUAGCUCAGCCUGCUAAACGAGGCUAAGGAGACUAAACGAGCUCGUAAGCAUCCGGCUGAAGACCGGAGUGUCGUCGGCUCAAAUCCGACCCGCGGCA
rnacentral:tRNA from 1 species